rnacentral:piRNA from 1 species
UAAGUGAACGUAUCCGAAUCC